GAUAGCGCGCACGGAGACGGUCGAUUCCUGCUCGUCGAGCAGAUCAGCCUCACCGAAGUAUUCGCCGUCGCCCAGAAGUGCUAUCCGUAAAUCCUCACCGUGUGAGCCUUUGCUGAUGACUUCGGCCUGUCCGCUGGCCACGAUGAAGAAACGCUGCUUGUCCUUACCCUCCUCGACGAAGAACUUGUCCACGUCGAUCUCCUUUGCUUCAAAUGAGUUCACCAAGCGAUUCAGGAUCUCGUCAUCAAACUCAGAGAACAGUGGGAUAGCCUUCAGGUUCUUGGCUGUAAACGACGGCACGCCAUUUACGUACUGAAUGGGCAGGCGAUCGUUCUUUCGGAGCUCCACCUUUGUGCGGUUCACGCGGAAGGUGCCGCCGCUGACCUGUACCCAUGGUAACAGUUUCAGGAGCAGUCGAGGAGUGAUACUGCCCAUCUGUGGGGCUGUCUUGGUGGUUGUUGCCAGUCUCCUGGCGGUAGCAGUG
rnacentral:antisense_RNA from 1 species